rnacentral:rRNA from 1 species
GACCAGACUCCUACGGGAGGCAGCAGUGGGGAAUAUUGCACAAUGGGGGAAACCCUGAUGCAGCGACGCCGCGUGAGUGAAGAAGUAUUUCGGUAUGUAGAGCUCUAUCAGCAGGGAAGAAAAUGACGGUACCUGAUUAAGAAGCCCCGGCUAACUACGUGCCAGCAGCCGCGGUAAUACGUAGGGGGCAAGCGUUAUCCGGAUUUACUGGGUGUAAAGGGAGCGUAGACGGCGAGGUAAGCCUGAAGUGGAAGCCCGCGGCCCAACCGCGGAACUGCUUUGGGAACUGUUUUGCUGGAGUAUGGGAGGGGUAAGCGGAAUUCCUGGUGUAGCGGUGAAAUGCGUAGAUAUUAGGAGGAACACCAGUGGCGAAGGCGGCUUACUGGACUGUAACUGACGUUGAGGCUCGAAAGCGUGGGGAGCAAACAGGAUUAGAUACCCCGGUAC